UCAGCAAAACAGUCGUGUCUUGUCGCUCAUUCACGCUGAUUUGAUUAGACCUGUAUUUUGUGUUACGAGUAAGAAUAUUUUGCCGCUAAGUUUACGAUCAUGGGUAACUCUUGGAAUAAAUCAACGACCGCUAAUGCUGAUCGAAAUCUAGAACACCAAACGCAGAACCAACCGGAAGAUAUUAAACAGGAGAUAGUUGAAGAAGCCAUCAAUCCAACUCAGGCACCACAAGUGUUCAACGUGAUAUCCGCUCCCAAAGUAUGUCCUCCAGGUUACCGUUUGGAUCAUAAGGGAAAGUGUCGGAAGAUCCAAGAAUUUUGAAAUCCCGAACGGAACAAUUCUCUACUUGAAAUCACGAUCACGAACAUUAAAACAUUCUAAGCUCUCUGUAUUAUGCUAUGUGGCACGCUGAGAGAUUUGUUUUCCUUUGUGCUACACUAACAUGAACGAACAGAACUAUUUGCAAUAUUAAUGAAUGUUUGAAAUAAAAUCUCACCUAAUUUUCAUGGAAAAUCAAGACAAGUAAC